rnacentral:rRNA from 1 species
CCUACGGGUGGCAGCAGUGAGGAAUAUUGGUCAAUGGGCGCUAGCCUGAACCAGCCAAGUAGCGUGAAGGAUGACUGCCCUAUGGGUUGUAAACUUCUUUUAUAUGGGAAUAAAGUGCAGUAUGUAUACUACUUUUCAUGUACCUUAUGAAUAAGGAUCGGCUAACUCCGUGCCAGCAGCCGCGGUAAUACGGAGGAUCCGAGCGUUAUCCGGAUUUAUUGGGUUUAAAGGGUGCGUAGGCGGGUUGUUAAGUCCGUUGUGAAAGUGUGCGGCUCAACCGUAAAAUUGCAGUUGAUACUGGCAGCCUUGAGUACAGUAGAGGUAGGCGGAAUUCGUGGUGUAGCGGUGAAAUGCUUAGAUAUCACGAAGAACUCCGAUUGCGAAGGCAGCCUGCUGGACUGUAACUGACGCUGAUGCUCGAAAGUGUGGGUAUCAAACAGGAUUAGAUACCCCAGUAGUC